rnacentral:rRNA from 1 species
CCUACGGGAGGCAGCAGUGGGGAAUAUUGGACAAUGGGCGAAAGCCUGAUCCAGCCAUGCCGCGUGUGUGAAGAAGGUCUUCGGAUUGUAAAGCACUUUAAGUUGGGAGGAAGGGUUGUAGAUUAAUACUCUGCAAUUUUGACGUUACCGACAGAAUAAGCACCGGCUAACUCUGUGCCAGCAGGCGCGGUAAU